UUGAACGCUGGCGGCAUGCUUUACACAUGCAAGUCGAACGGCAGCGGGGGCUUCGGCCUGCCGGCGAGUGGCGAACGGGUGAGUAAUGCAUCGGAACGUACCCAGUCGUGGGGGAUAACUACGCGAAAGCGUAGCUAAUACCGCAUACGUCCUGAGGGAGAAAGCGGGGGAUCUUCGGACCUCGCGCGAUUGGAGCGGCCGAUGUCGGAUUAGCUAGUAGGUGAGGUAAAGGCUCACCUAGGCGACGAUCCGUAGCGGGUCUGAGAGGAUGAUCCGCCACACUGGGACUGAGACACGGCCCAGACUCCUACGGGAGGCAGCAGUGGGGAAUUUUGGACAAUGGGCGCAAGCCUGAUCCAGCCAUGCCGCGUGAGUGAAGAAGGCCUUCGGGUUGUAAAGCUCUUUCGGCCGGGAAGAAAUCGUGGUCUCUAACAUAGGCCAUGGAUGACGGUACCGGACUAAGAAGCACCGGCUAACUACGU
rnacentral:rRNA from 1 species